rnacentral:rRNA from 1 species
UUACCUGGUCUUGACAUCCCGGGAAUUCCUUGAAAGAGGGAAGUGCCUCGCAAGAGGAGCCUGGAGACAGGUGCUGCAUGGCUGUCGUCAGCUCGUGUCGUGAGAUGUUGGGUUAAGUCCCGCAAUGAGCGCAACCCUUGUCUUUAGUUGCCAUCAUUCAGUUGGGCACUCUAAAGAGACUGCCGGUGUCAAACCGGAGGAAGGUGGGGAUGACGUCAAGUCCUCAUGGCCUUUAUGACCAGGGCUACACACGUACUACAAUGGCCGGUACAAAGGGCAGCCACUUAGCGAUAAGGAGCCAAUCCCGUAAAGCCGGUCUCAGUCCGGAUUGGAGUCUGCAACUCGACUCCAUGAAGUUGGAAUCGCUAGUAAUCGCAGAUCAGCACGCUGCGGUGAAUACGUUCCCGGGCCUU